rnacentral:rRNA from 1 species
UCAGAUUGAACGCUGGCGGCAGGCCUAACACAUGCAAGUCGAGCGGUAACAGGGGAAGCUUGCUUUCUGCUGACGAGCGGCGGACGGGUGCGUAACACGUAGGAAUCUGCCUGGUAGUGGGGGAUAGCCCGGAGAAAUCCGGAUUAAUACCGCAUACGCCCUAAGGGGGAAAGCAGGGGAUCAGUUUACUGACCUUGCACUAUCAGAUGAGCCUGCGUCGGAUUAGCUUGUUGGUGGGGUAAAGGCCUACCAAGGCGACGAUCCGUAGCUGGUCUGAGAGGAUGAUCAGCCACACUGGGACUGAGACACGGCCCAGACUCCUACGGGAGGCAGCAGUGGGGAAUAUUGCACAAUGGGCGCAAGCCUGAUGCAGCCAUGCCGCGUGUGUGAAGAAGGCCUUAGGGUUGUAAAGCACUUUCAGCGAGGAGGAAAGGUGAUUAGUUAAUACCUGAUUACUGUGACGUUACUCGCAGAAGAAGCACCGGCUAACUCCGUGCCAGCAGCCGCGGUAAUACGGAGGGUGCGAGCGUUAAUCGGAAUUACUGGGCGUAAAGCGUGCGUAGGCGGCUACUUAAGUUGGAUGUGAAAGCCCCGGGCUUAACCUGGGAACUGCAUCCAAAACUGGGUGGCUAGAGUGCGAGAGAGGAGUGUGGAAUUUCCUGUGUAGCGGUGAAAUGCGUAGAUAUAGGAAGGAACACCAGUGGCGAAGCGACACUCUGGCUUGACACUGACGCUGAGGUACGAAAGCGUGGGGAGCAAA